GAUGAAGAACGUAGCGAAAUGCGAUAAGUAAUGUGAAUUGCAGAAUUCAGUGAAUCAUCGAAUCUUUGAACGCACCUUGCGCCCUUUGGCUAUUCUGAAGGGCAUGCCUGUUUGAGUGUCAGUAAAUUCUCAAACCCUUCCAGCUUUUUGUAGUUGGCUCUGGGUCUUGGAUGUGGAGGUGUUGCAGGCCUUUUUGAGGUCAGCUCCCCUGAAAUGCAUUAGCAGAACCGUUUGCAAUCCAUCACAGGUGUGAUAAUUAUCUACGCCAGUGGGUUGCUCUCUGUCACUGUUCAGCUUACAAUUGUCCCAUUCUUGUGGACCAACUAUUGCUGAUUCUUUGACCUCAAAUCAGGUAGGACUACCCGCUGAACUUAAGCAUAUCAAUAAGCGGAGGA
rnacentral:misc_RNA from 1 species